ensembl:lncRNA
UGAAGAUUUCACACAAACACAUAUAAGCUUCUAGACAUAUAAUAGAUUAGAGCAGUGGUUCCAAACAAUUCAGUAAAUUCAGUGAGUGAUUCCUCGCUCAUAUUACACACACACAUAUAACAGCAAGCAAAGGGUUUAAAUGAACUCACAUUUAUGUACCACAACUGUGGUCUUUCUUAUUUCCUGUCCCAUGAUGUCACAGUUUUAUCUGCUGACCCUCAGGAAGGGACCCGACCUCACAGUUGGGAACCCAUGGACUACCAAACAGUAUGAAGACCAUGAUUUUAAAAAAGGUACAACAAAUAUCUUCUUGGUGAGAGGACAGAUGAGAUGUGGGGGUGUAUACUGGGGCACAGGCAUCACCAGUUUCUUUCAAAUCAAAAGCACACAGUAAGUACUGGCAUUUCAUAAAAUGUUUACAGAAUCACAAUACCUGAGUUUUUAAAAAUUAUUUUGUACAUUGUACAACAAAAUGAAACAAGAUUAAAACUAUGAAACAGACUACGUAGUAAUAAAAGUGAAAAUGAAAACACUUUAAGAUUGUUCAGAGUAGUCACAGUUUGCCUCAGUGUCAAACUUGAACAAGACUAUUCACCUAGGCAAGCCCAAAUCAGAGGAAAGACUGGGUCUGCCAUCAUUCAGGCAAUAUUAUUGGGCUGCCAAUGCCAGGGUCCUGAUGUUUUGGCAGCAGGGGGUUCUGGUCCAAAAUAUUUGACGGAUACUCCAAGGCUUACAAACAGGUCCUCCCAUUGGACCCUAUACUCGCCAUAUUCAGGUGCUCUCAACUCACCCAGAGACUCCCCAUUAUGACACAGCAGUCGCUGUUGCUCGGCAUGACAGUGGCCAAAAGAUUCAUUCUUAAGGAGUGGAAGUCACCCUCUCCCCCUUCCUUUCAGAGAUGGACGACGGACAUGAUCCAUGUUUAACAAAUGGAAAAACUGAGAUUCAUACGGACCAACAAGGUGCAAAAUACUCUGACAUCUAGGACCCAUUCCUUGCUCACCUUGGCAAGGGCAAAAGCUAAGGGACUGAGCUGGUUGACCUCUUAUCCCUGCGCUUGUUACACACCCACAGACCGUUCAGCAGCACCAUGAUGUAACACUGGCAAAGUAUAUACUAUGUAUAUGUAUGUAUAUGUGUAUGUAUUUGUAUGUAUGUAUGUAUGUACACACGUGGACAAAAUUGUUGGUACCCUUCGGUUAAUGAAAGAAAAACCCACAAUGGUCACAGAAAUAAUUUGAAUGUGACAAAAGUAAUAAUAAAUAAAAAUUCUAUGAAAAUUAACCAAUGAAAAUCAGACAUUGC